GGGCCGCCGUCCAGGGAAGACCGAACGUGAGGAACUGCUGCUAUCUGAACGCCUCGUAGGCACAAUCUUGGCAUUAAAAAUAAGAUCCAAUCCGAAAUAAAAGAGAAAAAGAAAAUGCCGUCCGUAUAACGAACGUCAAUGGCUUACUAAUCGAUUACGAAAAUGGACGAGGUUUCUUAAUGGAUACAUAAAAAAAAAUAUUGGACAAGUGACAGAAGUCACACGCCAAGAUGUUGUCGAUGUGUGGAUUGCUGUGCCGCAUGCUGCGAGGCUGGCGGCACAGUGAGGCGGUGAUGCUCAUGGCAAAGGCACUCUCCCAGCCUCACUCGUCUCUGCUGGUUCAGGACAUUCGAGCAUCAGAUUCGGGUAUUGUCAAAGUUAAUGAGCCAAGCUGCACAUCAAUCUUCUGCCAAAACAGCAACGAAGGAUCAGUAGGACAGCUUCUCUGGAGGGACAACAACAAGCAGGCAGUUGUCAUAGCUCCCAAGCAAAGAGUGGACCUUAAGCGAUGGACCCUCUUCAUGAUGGCGGCAGAUCAUCCAAGUAACAGCCACUCAAGAGAAUCAGCCCAGCAAGCGAGCGAGAAUGGAUUCCCAAGUGCAAAAUCUGAUGUUACGACCACAAUCACAGUCCUCCUUGAAGCCUCAUACAGAGAGCAAGAAGAUAAUCAGCUGCUAGACUGUUAUGUGAUGGUAGAACAGUUAUCUCAGCCCUAUGCCUGGAAGGCCAGAGAUGUGUUUGGAGUCAUUGUAACAACAACCCCACCUCAGCUGCUUGCCAUGAUUCAAGCCUUCUUCAAUAAUGCUCUCAUUGUUGAUGAUGACUUUCUUAUUACGAAGCUUAUUACUGUUGACUUAGUGGGUCAACCUUCAACCUUUGAUGACCCACUGAGCAUACCAGAAAGUGUGACCCCAGGACCAUGGACCACAGAGAAAACUACUUGCACACAGAUGGAGUUAGCUCGUUCUGUGUCUCCCACAAACUAUACUGUGGGCCAGUUAUCAGUCAGAGAAGGCGAUCCCAUGGGAGCUUGUGGUAUCUCUCUGCAUCCUCCGACCCUUUCUGCUGUAUUGCGUCAGCAGUCAUCAGCAGAGAGUGCCACAGAUACAUCCACUACUCUUCACCCUCAAUCAUCUAGUGAUAGUGACAAACGGGCUUCUAGCCUCGACCCUCAGUCAUCGUAUGACAGUGUCAGUGAUUAUCCAACGUCUGACACUGAUGAUCUAUCUUGCAAUGUUUAUAAUUUCUAUCCCAGAGGAUGGGCAGUGUCUGGCCAGCAAGUUGUGUCGGGACAGCCACUGUCAGUCCGGGGUGUCCUCAACCAUCUGGAAGGUAAACAGUACAGAAAACCGUGUUCCAUAGUGUCUAAUCCUAUGGAAGAUUUAUGGCAGGAGUCCGACGAGAAAACAAAAGUGGUGGAUGCAGGCAGUGUCUAUCAACACGGAAGCUUAAGAUGCAUGAAUGGUCCUGCUGGAUUUUCCAAAAGGAGUGAGACACUGUUGAAAGUUCGGAGGGGCUCAUCAGAAUGUAGUUAUCCAUAUCGGUGUAUCCCUGGGAAGGUAAUUUGCCAGAACAUACAGCAUUCAGUGCCUGGCAAAGCUGAGCAGGAGAUUGUGAAAGAGGCAGCUGAGUAUUAUCAGAGAGCAGUUUCCUCUGCUCAAGAACGCAGAGAAUGGACCAAGAAAAGUUUUAGUUCAACCAGUGAGGAUGAUGGUCCACCAUGUAAAUUCUCAUUCUCUGACACUAAAGAAAAAGCAGUUGUUACACAAGAACCCAAGAGACACCCUGUGAGAAUUAGUAGUGAAGCUGAUCUAAGUAGAGCUACAAAUAUAAUAAAAGAAAAUCUUGCAAACAUUGUUGAAAAUUAUCUAGUAAAACAUGGCAGUUCUGAAUAUCAUCACCUUAUUCCAAAGGCUAAAGGUAAUGGUGAUAGAAGUGUUGAGGCAGAUACCCAUAAUGGUAGUCAAGGUGUAAAUGUGAAUGUCAGAGACAAGGUCAUUCAUACAACAACAUCCAGGGUCCUAAAUGACCAAUAUGAGGUUACCAAGACACAAGAUGUACAACAGAUCAGUAUAUCCAUAAGCUUUGAAGAUGAUGAAAAGUUAGUCACUGAAAUUAUGGGAGGCUGUGAUGAAGGUCUUGUGUCAGUUAUUGAUACAAAGAAGGCUCCAGUACAGGGCUUCAGUGAGGAAGAAGUAAGUAAUUACUUUGCAAAUCAAGAAGAAAGUCCUGAUAAAUCAAUGGAAGAAGAUCAGUCUCCAGUUCUCUCUCCAGUAAGUGGGAAAAUUGCAAGUAAAUCCUCAGGAAGAAGUGAAAAGAAAUUAGUGAAGAGUGAGGAACUUUUGCCACCUACUAUGAAGCGUGAAAGUUGUAUUGAUAUUCCAAAUAAUGAUGAUGAAUUCAGAAGUGUCACAAGGUUUGAGGACCAGAGCAUUCAAGAAAGAGCCUGGCUGGAAAAGGAGGAAUUGCCAGGCUCUCUUAUUGUAAAAAGUGAGGCAGUCAUCAACAUUUCUGAAACGUUUAUUGGAAAUGGAAACCUUGAUGAACCUAGCAGAACUAAUGAGAAGAUGCUGGAAAUGCUCCAACUCCACAAAAAUGGUGUAAUGGAAGAUUCCCACACAAAGGAAGAAGAUAUCUCAGAGAAGCUAAUUGACUUAGAAACUGAAAGUGGAAUAAGAGAAAAGGAGCUAGCUCAAGUAAACAAAAUUGCUGACGAGUCACCGAUUUUGAAAGAGAGUUCAUUGAUCACUGAAUCACUUGAAAAAGAGGAAAAAGUUAGCAGUCCAACUACUGAAGAAAAGGUAUAUUCACCAGAUACUGACUCCACUUCAGUUGAGAACAUGGAUUCAUACAGAGUCAAAGAUAUUAAUAAAUCACUGGCAGGUAAUGAUAACAAGUAUUCUGAUAUACCCAUUAUUUUAGACAGUGCCCAGGAGAACAUAGCUGUUAGUGAAAAGAAAACUCAUAAACUUUCACUUAUUAGUGAAGUUGAAGAAAAUGGGGAUGGCAACCAUUUAGAGGUCCAAGAGAAAGGCCAGGUUGAUGAAGUGAGUGAUGAUGAUAGUUCACAAAAACCAAGAUGUCUCAAAGAUAUACACAAACUAAAUACAAAAUCCAGCACCACUAGUGAAAGUUCAUUUGAAUCUCUUCCAUACAGAAUGCUUUCAUCUCAGCCAGAUAGCCUGAAUGAUGAUUUAGGACUGGUCAUAGAACUGACUAGUGCACCAAUAGAUUCAGAAAAGGCUUUAGCUGCAAAACGUGAGUUGAUCAGGCAAGAGCGAAUGGCUGCAAUGUCCCUUAUGAGUGGAACACUGUUAGAAUCAAGGGAUGAAAUAAGAUAUGAAGCCAUCUUUGAGAAAGGGUCUGAGUUUGAUACUGUUGAUGUAGAAAAGUGUACUGAUGUGGAUGCAGUCCAUGGGGAGGAGAAUAUUGAAGUGAAUGCCAUGGCAGCAGCAGCUUCAACACAGGAAGAAGAUAGAGAAAGUUACCCUAGCUCCUUGUUUGAUUCUGGUGUGGAUAUAGCAAUGCAUGAACAUGUGAGCAGCAUAAAUUCAUCCCUUAGCAAGUCACUGGUCAGUCCAGUAGAAUCUGCAGCAGAGUCUGGUUUCUCAAGUUUGAAGGAGCCUCUUGUACCAGAGGGAGCCAUGGUGGAAGAUAGUGGGCCAGGUGAGCACAGGGGAGUUUGCUUAAGUAAAUCAAAAGAUAGUCUUGAUCUCACUGACACGGAUAAGUUCCCUGGUACAGAUACCCUCUCAGAUGACAUGGAAACACUCUCUUCAAAUGCUGGUGAUAUUACCCUUGUGGAGAGUGGCCCUGUCUCUAAGGAAGGAUCUGCACGAGGAAGCGUCUCUGAUGGCAUUUAUCAAGACAAUGGGUAUUUGAGAUAUGGCUCGGAAUCAUCUCAUCUAGAUUUAGAUUCAGUUGGAAUUCCUAAUACAUAUCUUAAAGGUUCACAUUAUGAGACUGCAGCAGGUGUUGAGGAAAUAUCAGGAAGGGAUGAAUUAUCUCCAAAGGCUGGAGGAGAGAAGUUGACUCAACAAAAUCUGAUGAGACAUGCAGAGAAGACCUCUAUAUCAACAGAUAUUGUAGAUUAUUGCAAUAGGUUGCAGAAACUUUCAAUGGAUUAUGAUAAAGUUAGCACAUCAGAGAAAUUUGAUCAAAAGUCUGCCAAGUAUUUGCCAGAGGAAAGUGAAGCAUCAAAGAGAAAGACUAGUGAGUCCAUUUCAUCAGAAGAUACAGUUAUAUCGAAAGUGUCUGCUGAAGAACAGAAUAAUAAGAUUCAGUCACAAGGAUCACAGGAAGACCAAAUGGAGCUCCCAGAGAGCCUUCUGGAAUGUUCAGAAUAUGAGGAUAUAAGCAAGACAGGAGACUUUGACAAAGGAAAGGAAAAUGGGGAGCCAUGCAAGUCUCCCAUAAGUCACAUUGGAAUGAACAGUAGAAUUAGUGUCAGCAGCGGUGAAGGAGUAGAACACAAAGAUAAAGACUCUGCUGUUGCACCUGCAGUAUCAUCAGGAGCUGACCAAUAUUGUGACAUUGCAAUUGAGGGUAAAUCAGGGGAGAAUGAGGGACUGUCAGAUGUGAUGAACAGGGUAGACACAACAGAGCUUAAUGGUGAUGAAUCAAUGUGCAAAGAAGAAGAAUCUAAUGGAAGUUCACUUAUUGGUUCAGUUGAAAGAAAACAGUCUUCAGUAGGACACAAAUCUAGAGGAUCCACACUGACAUCAUCCACCAGUCAGUCUGAAGAGAUCCCUAAAGAUGUCAGUGCAGCUGAAAAAGUUCCUAGCCAAGAAAAUGAUUCUCCGAAGGAUUCUACAACAAAACAGAGCUAUCAGUCAGAGAAGACCUCCAUAUCUGGUGCAGAGGAGAAGGAGAGCAGCAGUCAGCCCGUUCCUAUGUCUGAAGCAGAAAAGAGCAGAAAGUCUAACAAGUCAAAGAGUGAUGUAAGUGACAAAUCGAGUCCAAAUGCCCGGGAAACAUGUAGCAAUUCAGACAGACCAAGCCGGCACUCAAGCAGAAGUGGAGUUUCUGACUUGGAGGAUGAGGUGUUCCUUCCACCCAGUGAAAACUACAUCUUUGAUGGUAGACCUGUAAUUUAUUGUCCCAAAAUAGAUAUGGCUGAUCAAAUAGGAAUUGAACACCCACAAGUUGCUAUGAGUGUAUUUGCAGUCAUUCCAUCCAAGGAAAUUAAAAGUGGCAAAGAUGGCCGAUGGGAAGAGCAUAUGGGUAAAGGGAGUGUAUUUAAGAUGGCUGAUUAUUAUGCAGCACAAGAUAGCCAAAUUCAGAAGGAAGAGAAAGAUAAACCUCUUGUUGUAUCAGAAUUUAGGAAGAUAUCAGAGGGAUUCACUGUGGCAGAAGACAGUGUUCUGUUAGAAGAAGAACAGCCCAAAGCUCCAGUUGAAUCUGAUACCAGUGAUGGAAAUGUUGAAUGGAAGAACAAGAAUGCAGAGAGUAAAGCUCCACUGAGAUGCACAGGAGGUGCCCCAUUAACAGAUGAUUAUACUCACAUAGAAGAAGAUGAGAUAGAGCCAAUAACAGCUGCUAAAGAAGAAUUGAAAGCCACUAAGACAGAUAAUGAAGGAUGGGUACCAUCAAAAGAGUCAAUAAAUGUAAAGAAACUUGAUAAUGGGACUUUGGGUGAAGCCAAGGUAGAAAAGGUAAGUGAUACUAAAAGUUCAUGCAAGCCCACAAGAGUGAUUCAUCCAGCAGUGAGAUCAAAGAGAGCAGAUGGUAGUGUUCAAAACAAACAGAAAAAUGUUGAAGAGAUACAUGGUCCACAGACUGUCCUGAAGUCUGGAGUAUCAGAUAUAGAGAGCAGAAGUCAUAAAGAAUCUGCUAUUUAUGAUGAUCGAGUUAGGUCAUAUGAUAGUGAAUGGGUGAUUGCAGCAGAUGGACAUACCAUUAUUAAUCCUGUUUUUCAAGAAUCUCCGAUAUCCCCAUUCACAACUCAAACUAACAAUUUGAUAGAGGAGUCACAGAAGCCUUCAGAUUAUAGAGUUUUUGAUUUAAGUAAACCACCCUUAGAUGACACUGUUGACCAUUCCAAACCAAAGCUGGCACGAAUGGCCAACUUGGAGAGGUCUGACACAGCUAUAGCCAUACAGAGAGUAUCAGACAUGGAGGUGCUUCCAGUCAAUAAAGUGGCAAUAAAGAUUUUAGAUAAUGAUGAAAGUGUACCACAGUCCCCAGUAUUGUCUCCACUUUCUCCAAGAUUUCCUGGUAAGACAAACUCAUCAUUUUCAGGUGCCAAGGAAGCUGUGGCUGCUGAAGAAACGAUUACACGAAGAAGAACAGGUUCAGAUGCAAAUGAUCACACCACUGGGGACAAGGCAAACGAGAAGCGCAUAAAUACCUCAAAGAGGGAAGGUAAAGUUUUCGAUUUUGACAAAGUUCCUGACCUGGAAGAAUGUAAAUCACAAGGAACAGGAUCUCUGAAGUCUAAAGAGAGUGAGGAGAGCGAAAUCAGCAAUGUAACCUCAAAUGAAGAAUAUUCUGCCAAAUCUGAACCAGAGAUGAAGACAGAGGGAAGUGAGAGACUCUCCACUCUGACUCUUGAUGAACAAAGAUCAGUUUCCAAAGGGGACAUAAGGGGUGGUUGGGCUGUAGGUGGGUCCCUGGAGUGCUUGGAGAGAACCAGCUCCAGCAAGGAAGGUAAAGGGCAUCAUCAAGGAUCUAUAUCAAGUGCCAAGUCAGAAGACCUUGGCAUGAAGUGUGAGAAAGUGAGUUUAAAGUCACAGGGCUCUUUGGACAAAUUUCCUCAUUUUGACCAGAUCAGUGCACAGCAGAAGGCAAGGGGGGCUCGGAAGAAAGUCCUUUCUGUUGAUACUGAGGGUAAAGACAAGCUGGGAAAGGAGAAAAGCAAGGAAAUGCAUAGGAGUGCAACACUUCCGGUGGGGUCCUUGUCAAUUAAAAAGGAAGAUAAGAAAAAAGAAAAAGAUGAAAAGGUUAAAAAGAAGAAGAAAGAGAAGGAAGUGGGGGUUGUAGAAAAAAAAUCAGCAAUAUCAUCUCUAAAGGGGUUGCUAAAGAGGACCAAACCAAAGGAAAAGGAGAAAGAGAAAGAGAAGGAUAAGGAUAAAGAUAAAGAUUCUUCAUCCCAAGAGAAGCUAUCCUCUCCCUCUCUGUUUAGAAAAUUUGAGAGGAAGAGUCGAAGCAACACACAUUCUCCACUGCUGGAUGACAAGAAGCAUACCAGUCCAGGUAAAGUUGCAAGUAGCACGCAGCAGCGUGAUGUAGAUAAGUUAAAACAUAGUCCUGUAGCAGCUAAUGGCAAAACUCGUCCAGUAAUCAGUGGCCCUGUAGAUGUACGUCCACUAAGCAGCCCAGCAGAGAUUGGUUCAUCAGGUAGAAGCAGUUCUGUAGUGGGUGCUUCCGGCUCAGAAAGUGAAAGCCCUGCUAGUAGCCACCACUCCUCUCCAAAACGCAUUGUAAAUCACACUCGUAAGACUAGCAUGGGUAACCAACCAUCCCCACGGUUGUAUAGACACGUCCUUACAAGAAACCUCUCCAGCAGUCAGGAAUCAGUAGACAAUCCCAUGCUCUCGUCAAGUCACUCUUCACCUCAGACGUCACCCCAUACCUCUCCAAAAAGAAGGCUUGUACCUGCUUCAGCAUCCUCUUAUAGUCUUCCUGCCAGUCGUGACAUGAGCCCUCCUGCCCCUGUUAUGGGGACAAGAGCCCUCAGAGGUUCUAACAACAGCUUUUCAGUAACAAUUGGCUUCAAACCCACAGUUGAAAAACAUAGCAGAACCAUGAGUGAAGGAGCUGACCUUAACAAAGUAGCAGUAUCUCCUGUAUGUAAGCGGAAAGAAGGGUCGGGUAUUUUGACACAACUUAAUAAACGAUCAUCUUCAAUGGAGAUUCUUGUAUUUGGGAAAAUCAGAGAACACUGUUCAGAAGGGGGUAAAUCUCCUGGUGGAAGCCCCUUCUCUCGAGAGGGGAGUUUCCGUUUACAUAGGGAAAUAUCUGUUGAAACAUUGUUUGAGCUUCCCGAGACUAGUCCCAGAUCAAGCAGGACACAAGAAGAAUACCAGGAGUACCUAAAUGAGGUACAGGCCAGGAAUGACUCACAACAUGGGUCUUCAUGGAGCCUAUUUGAAGAGUCAGAAACGGAGGGGCAGCAUAGAGCCACGCCAAAGAGGAGGAGUUCACACCAUACUGCCAUGGGUAAAAAAUUAAGUUUACCACAUAAUAUGCAUCUUUCAGGUUUACGAGAGACUGCAUCAUCAAAUCCUAAUCUGCAACGCUGUGGUUCACCGUUUGUCCGUGGUGUCACACACAGUUCAAGCUUCACCUCCAGCCCCUUUAGACGUCCCCACUCUUCCACUGCUGUGUUUUCACCAGCAAAGAGAGUUAUCUCCUCAGUUUCAGGUUUGUCUCCACCUGGGGAAUCCAGUCCUGGUAUGCCCCUGAUGCGUGUGGAGGAGGAAGGGCCUUGCCGGAAGAACUUAGAUGUCGAUACAGGAAAGCCACCCAAUGUCCUCGUGUAUGCAGCCAAUAAAGCAGACUAUUUCGAGGCUGUCAGGGAUACGCUUGUAAAUUGCCUUAAUCAGGAUAGAUACACAGUCUAUCAACUGACAGAUGAAAUGGCAUUCAAGUCCCCAUGGGCAGGAAGUACUACAUUGUUAGUAGUCUGCGGUGAUGUCCCUGCUCAUGUGUCAACAGUUUUCAUCAGAAGAGGAAAUUGCCGCUCCUAGUGGUGGUGUCAGUGAUGACGUCUUGCUCUCUGAUUGGUUCAGCAACCUCUGAGAAGCCAACAUAGCUGGCACCAGCUUAACAAAUAUGCCGCAAAAACUGAGAUCCACAAGCUCUGGUAUCUACUACAAGGAGGCCGUGUUCUCUCCAUCUGCUCUGAUUUCCUCAAUGUUGCGGUGCCUCUCUUU
rnacentral:misc_RNA from 1 species